ACUGCACAACUGGCAGAAAGACUGAAAUACAUUGUGGCUAAAAAUGAACCUGCAGUGGAAAGUGAUAUCUAUGGCCAGAUGACCUGAUUGAUAUAGGUGCACAUUGGGUGGCUGAGGCGGACAAUUUGCAUAUCCAGAUAUAAAGCUGGAUCUAUUCUACUCAACGUAACCAAGACAUCAGACCUAAAAUACUGGGUUCACCAUAACAUCUGAACCCCAAUGCAGCCAAUGGAGCAGACAGUGAGAGCAACACAGAUGGAAGAGCUCAGUGUGGAGCUGUUGCAGGCCGUGUUUUGUGGAGGCCGUUCUGCUCGAUGGUAACAAAAUGGUUGGGUCAUUAGCACCAGUGUGCUGGAGGGCUAUCGUCAGUACCGAAGAGUUUCAGAGGAAGGCCCAUUAUCGAAGGCUGAAAAGAUGCAUUGGAGUAGGAAAAAGAGGAGAACUUUGAGGGAUGUACGGCGGCCCAUCUCACCCUGGUUUCUGCAGCCAGAUUUGCGCCUGUAAUGCCGUAAAGUCGUUUUUGCAGGGGAAAAAAACAUUAAAAAUAUUUUAUACAGUUGA